AAUCAACGCUGGCGGCGUGCCUCAGACAUGCAAGUCGAACAAUUAAAGCUCUCUUCGGAGAGUGUAUAGAGUGGCGCACGGGUGAGUAACACGUAAGUAAUCUGCCUUCGAGUGGGGAAUAACAUCGGGAAACCGAUGCUAAUACCGCAUAAUGCAGCGGCACCGCAAGGUGACAGUUGUUAGAGGAGCAAUCCGCUUGUAGAGGAGCUUGCGGCAGAUUAGCUAGUUGGUAAGGUAAUGGCUUACCAAGGCUACGAUCUGUAACCGGUCUAAGAGGACGGUCGGGUCACACUGACACUGAAUAACGGGUCAGACUCCUACGGGAGGCAGCAGUCGGGAAUUUUUGGGCAAUGGGCGAAAGCCUGACCCAGCAACGCCGCGUGAAGGAUGAAGUAUUUCGGGUAUGUAAACUUCGAAAG
rnacentral:rRNA from 1 species